rnacentral:lncRNA from 1 species
GUUUGAGAGAAGGACGGUGGCUAAUGUUAGAACUAGAUGACGCAAAAGUUAUUGAAUGCUAAUGUUCAGUUUCCUUUAUGAGCUGAUGCUAAGAACUAAAAACUUGCAAGUCUGUAGUAAUGCAAAAAUAUGCAAUGAAUAAAAAUAUGAUUUUACAAGAAAUAUCUUAUCAUCACUCUCUAAUCAUUCUCUCAGACAAUAUUUUACAAACCAGUUGAAUUUUUUCGGCUGAUCUGGAAUUAACCCAGGAAAUAUGUUAAAAAGUUCUAUCGCCAAGCAUUAAUUUAGAUGGCAUGGUGAUGAUUUAUGAGAUAGAAAA